rnacentral:rRNA from 1 species
UACGAAGGGGCUAGCGUUGCUCGGAAUGACUGGGCGUAAAGGGCGCGUAGGCGGUUUGUACAGUCAGGUGUGAAAUUCCCGGGCUCAACCUGGGGGCUGCACUUGAUACGUAUGGACUGGAGUGGGGAAGAGGGUCGUGGAAUUCCCAGUGUAGAGGUGAAAUUCGUAGAUAUUGGGAAGAACACCGGUGGCGAAGGCGGCGACCUGGUCUUUGACUGACGCUGAGGCGCGAAAGCGUGGGGAGCGAACAGG